rnacentral:rRNA from 1 species
GACGAACGCUUGCGGCGUGCUUAACACAUGCAAGUCGAACGGAAAGGCCCUGCUUUUGUGGGGUGCUCGAGUGGCGAACGGGUGAGUAACACGUGAGUAACCUGCCCUUGACUUUGGGAUAACUUCAGGAAACUGGGGCUAAUACCGGAUAGGAGCUCCUGCUGCAUGGUGGGGGUUGGAAAGUUUCGGCGGUUGGGGAUGGACUCGCGGCUUAUCAGCUUGUUGGUGGGGUAGUGGCUUACCAAGGCUUUGACGGGUAGCCGGCCUGAGAGGGUGACCGGCCACAUUGGGACUGAGAUACGGCCCAGACUCCUACGGGAGGCAGCAGUGGGGAAUAUUGCACAAUGGGCGGAAGCCUGAUGCAGCAACGCCGCGUGCGGGAUGACGGCCUUCGGGUUGUAAACCGCUUUCGCCUGUGACGAAGCGUGAGUGACGGUAAUGGGUAAAGAAGCACCGGCUAACUACGUGCCAGCAGCCGCGGUGAUACGUAGGGUGCGAGCGUUGUCCGGAUUUAUUGGGCGUAAAGGGCUCGUAGGUGGUUGAUCGCGUCGGAAGUGUAAUCUUGGGGCUUAACCCUGAGCGUGCUUUCGAUACGGGUUGACUUGAGGAAGGUAGGGGAGAAUGGAAUUCCUGGUGGAGCGGUGGAAUGCGCAGAUAUCAGGAGGAACACCAGUGGCGAAGGCGGUUCUCUGGGCCUUUCCUGACGCUGAGGAGCGAAAGCGUGGGGAGCGAACAGGCUUAGAUACCCUGGUAGUCCACGCUGUAAACGGUGGGUACUAGGUGUGGGGUCCAUUCCACGGGUUCCGUGCCGUAGCUAACGCUUUAAGUACCCCGCCUGGGGAGUACGGCCGCAAGGCUAAAACUCAAAGGAAUUGACGGGGCCCCGCACAAGCGGCGGAGCAUGCGGAUUAAUUCGAUGCAACGCGUAGAACCUUACCUGGGUUUGACAUGGAUCGGGAGUGCUCAGAGAUGGGUGUGCCUCUUUUGGGGUCGGUUCACAGGUGGUGCAUGCCUGUCGUCAGCUCGUGUCGUGAGAUGUUGGGUUAAGUCCCGCAACGAGCGCAACCCUUGUUCACUGUUGCCAGCACGUUAUGGUGGGGACUCAGUGGAGACCGCCGGGGUCAACUCGGAGGAAGGUGGGGAUGACGUCAAGUCCUCAUGCCCCUUAUGUCCAGGGCUUCACGCAUGCUACAAUGGCUGGUACAGAGAGUGGCGAGCCUGUGAGGGUGAGCGAAUCUCGGGAAGCCGGUCUCAGUUCGGAUUGGGGUCUGCAACUCGACCUCAUGAAGUCGGAGUCGCUAGUAAUCGCAGAUCAGCAACGCAGCGGUGAAUACGUUCCCGGG